UCCAGACUCCUACGGGAGGCAGCAGUGAGGAAUAUUGGUCAAUGGGCGAGAGCCUGAACCAGCCAAGUCGCGUGAGGGAAGACGGUCCUAUGGAUUGUAAACCUCUUUUGUCGGGGAGCAAAAAGGCCUCGUGAGGCCACAAGUGAGAGUACCCGAAGAAAAAGCAUCGGCUAACUCCGUGCCAGCAGCCGCGGUAAUACGGAGGAUGCGAGCGUUAUUCGGAUUUAUUGGGUUUAAAGGGUGCGUAGGCGGACUGGAAAGUCAGCGGUAAAAUCGAGAGGCUCAACCUCUUUCCGCCGUUGAAACUGUCGGUCUUGAGUGGGCGAGAAGUAUGCGGAAUGCGUGGUGUAGCGGUGAAAUGCGUAGAUAUUAGGAGGAACACCAGUGGCGAAGGCGGCUUACUGGACUGUAACUGACGUUGAGGCUCGAAAGCGUGGGGAGCAAACAGGAUUAGAUACCCGUGUAA
rnacentral:rRNA from 1 species